rnacentral:misc_RNA from 1 species
AAAGUCGUAACAAGGUUUCCGUAGGUGAACCUGCGGAAGGAUCAUUAUUGAUUUUUAAAGGAUGUGCUGGCUGCCCUCAGAGGUUUGCAUGUGCACUCCACAAAAUCUCCAUUCUCUACACCAUUGUGCACAACCCAGUAGGCAAAACAGGUUCACAGAGCAAUAGACGAAGCGCCGGAGCGGACGAGCGCAUCUGGGCCACAAAUAAUUAGUGAGCCCGAUUGCUGUGCACAUUGUCUGCCUAUGUUUUUUAUACCAAACCCCAAUAAUAUGUCAGAAUGAUGUAUUGCAGUAAGCUUUCACAAGCUGAAAUCUAAUACAACUUUCAACAAUGGAUCUCUUGGUUCUC